GUGUUCGUAGAAAGGAGAGAUGGUUGGCAUCUCCCCUGACAGGGACGGGAACAGCCUUCGGGCUUUCUUGUGACACAUUCGGUUAAGGCUCUCCACUUCGGUGGAUCUUACAACCCAAAUUUUUA
rfam:Cephalotus follicularis DNA, scaffold: scaffold259, isolate: St1.